rnacentral:lncRNA from 1 species
UGGGCAUGCGUCCUGGCCUCUGUUUGGAAUGCUCUCUUUCUGCCUCAGUUUCCUUCCUGAUGUAUAUAUAUAGACUCAGCCUCUCUGCCCAAGUCUUCUAUGAUGACAGCUCACUAGGCAGGCAGCGUGGAUCUAUGUUCCAGUCUCCUCUUGCAGAUCAGAUACCACCUCUGAGAUCCUUCUCUGCUCCUCACUGACCAAACUCAAGGAACAGAUCUUCCCUGCCCAGGUCUCCAGGACCCCAACCUACCCACUUCUAGGAGAGAAUUCACACAGGUCUUGAGGAAUAGAGACUACAAACAAAUCAAGUCUUCUGUGGGAAUGCUGGGCCAUGGGCUUUGGAAUCACCACCAGUGAUGGAACCCGAAGUAAGCUACUAAACCUCGACAGGCUCAUUCAUGAAUCACCACCAGUGAUGGAACCCCAGGUGGUCCUGAAAGGAGGAGGUGCUUUGCUUCUCUUUUUCGCAGAUGUCAAUUAUGGAUCAACUUCUGAGUCACAUAGAAGAGCACCAUCAAUUGGCCAUUUCUCACCUGAUCACUGAGGAUAUAAAGUGCUUUUCCAGACUCCAGGACUCGGUUCAUUGCUAGUAUCAGGACGCCUCUCAUGUAUGGGAAGCCAGAAACAUCCCAGGAGCCUCACUGACUGCUUGGGCACAGCCCUCUGAGCAGACCUAUGAAGAAACAGAAGGAUUUGUGCCUUUUAGCGAGGAGGAUGCAGCACAUGCAGAGGCUUCAUAAAUCUGAUGAGUGCUGAAAAGAACCAUGCCCUCCAGCAAGGGGGAGCCAGGAAACAUUCUACAGGAAAGUCUGGAGUUUUGACACCUGUUGAGAGACACACCACCCACUAAAGAAAAAAAGGGUGCAGAGCUCUUCUACCCUUAGAUAAUAUGUGUUGGGAAGAAUUAACCAGUUCUGCAGUUUGGUCAAGGUUCAGCAGGGACAGUUUGUCUCUGUUCCACAUAGUAUCAGCUGAGGCAGCUCAACUGAGGAUGGAGGAUGCACUUUCAAGAUUGUUUCCUUGCAAGACUGGCAAGCUUGUAUUGUCAGCUGGACCUCAACUAGGACUGUUGGCCAGGGACCUCUCUCCUCCUCCACAUAGAUCCAUCUAUGUGGCUGUUUGGGUUUUCUGACAAGAUGGCCACAAGUUCCCAAGAGCAAAUAUUCCAAGAAAACAAGCCUCAAUAUGAAAUCACUUAUCAGGCCUCUCCUUGCAUCAUACUUGCCAAAUGUCCCAUUGGCCAAAGAUGGCUCCAUGAUCAAGCCCAGAGUCCAUGUGGGAGGGGACUACACAAGGGUAAGAACUCCAACAGCUGUGGUUCAUUGGGGGUCACCAAACUAAGAGUUUACCACAGAGUGUGGUAACUUUCGUCUCUCCCCAUUAGUAGAGAAAAAUUGAAAAUUGGUAUUAUUUGCCCACUCCCCCAAUUUUUUAAGUCAGAAACUUAAUACCAAUGUUUCCUAAUUUUUAAGUUGGCUUAAGAAAAUUGGAGCCAGGUGUGGUGGCUCACGCCUGUAAUCCCAGCACUUUGGGAGGACGAGGCAGGCGGAUCACGAGGUCAGGAGAUCGAGACCACCCUGGCUAACACAGUGAGACCCCGUCUCUACUAAAAAUACAAAAAAAAUUAGCCGGGCGUGGUGGCGGGCGCCUGUAGU